rnacentral:rRNA from 1 species
UACAGAGGGGGCAAGCGUUGUUCGGAAUUACUGGGCGUAAAGGGCGCGUAGGCGGCCUGUUAAGUCGAACGUGAAAUCCCCGGGCUCAACCCGGGAACUGCGUCCGAUACUGGCAGGCUUGAAUCCGGGAGAGGGAUGCGGAAUUCCAGGUGUAGCGGUGAAAUGCGUAGGAUAUCUGGAGGAACACCGGUGGCGAAGGCGGCAUCCUGGACGGCAUUGACGCGCUGAGGCGCGAA